AGCAUAUCAAUAAGCGGAGG
rnacentral:ncRNA from 4 species